rnacentral:rRNA from 1 species
UACGUAGGGUGCGAGCGUUGUCCGGAAUUACUGGGCGUAAAGAGCUCGUAGGUGGUUUGUCGCGUUGUUCGUGAAAAACUCACAGCUUAACUGUGGGCGUGCGGGCGAUACGGGCAGACUAGAGUGAUGUAGGGGAGACUGGAAUUCCUGGUGUAGCGGUGAAAUGCGCAGAUAUCAGGAGGAACACCGGUGGCGAAGGCGGGUCUCUGGGCCAAUACUGACGCUGAGGAGCGAAAGCGUGGGGGAGCGAACAGG